rnacentral:rRNA from 1 species
UAGUCCACGCCGUAAACGAUGGUCACUAGCUGUUCGAACUUCGGUUUGAGUGGCUAAGCGAAAGUGAUAAGUAUCCCACCUGGGGAGUACGUUCGCAAGAAUGAAACUCAAAGGAAUUGACGGGGCCCGCACAAGCGGUGGAGCAUGUGGUUUAAUUCGAUGAUACGCGAGGAACCUUACCAGGGCUUAAAUGCAUAUUGACAGGUCUAGAGAUAGAUUUUCCUUCGGGCAAUUUGCAAGGUGCUGCAUGGUUGUCGUCAGCUCGUGCCGUGAGGUGUCAGGUUAAGUCCUAUAACGAGCGCAACCCCUACCGUUAGUUGCCAGCGAUUCAAGUCGGGGACUCUAACGGGACUGCCGGUGCAAACCGUGAGGAAGGUGGGGAUGACGUCAAAUCAUCACGGCCCUUACGUCCUGGGGCCACACACGUGCUACAAUGGCCGGUACAGAGAGCAGCCACUUGGUGACAAGGGAGCGAAUCUAUAAAACCGGGUCACAGUUCGGGAUCGGGGGUC